rnacentral:lncRNA from 1 species
UUAAAAUGUACAAUAUAUUCUAUUAGGUGUUUUUUAUUAGGUAUUAGGGGACACAAAGAUGGGCUGAUAUAAACUUGGCACAUGUAGAGAACAAGAAGAAAACUAACUUGGCUGAAACAAAUGGUUACAUGUUAGGAAUAGUUCAUUUAUUCAGUAAUUCCACAAUUAUUGAGCAUCUUCUCCAGGGCACGCAUUGUUCUUCUUGCUUGGGGUAAACCAGUUGUCUUACAGAUAAAGAUUCCAACCCUAGUAUAGUUUACAUUAUAAAGUGAUUGAAGGAUAUGUUUGGAACACUAAAGCGAGUCAGGAUCCUCACAUGUGGAGAUUAGAGAUCUGGAUUUGAUUUGAAAGGUUCUGGAGAAUCAAUGCAUUUUCCCCGGGGGAAUGACAAGAUGAAGGUGAUGUUUUGUAAAGAUUAGUCUAGAGUUGUAUCCAGGAUGGAUUACAGUGGGAAGAGGCUGGAGGUUAAGGAUAUCAAUAAGGUUAUUAUAAGGAUGUGGACAAGAGAGAGUGAGGAACAGCCAAACUGCCCCAAAAUGAUGACCCGGAUUUGUGGUGCAGUAAGAUUAAGUGGUCCCAGAUUUGUGGUGCAAUAAAUGAGAACAAGAUUUGAGCGCCCCAAAGUCAUCUGUCAUUUAGCUUGUCAUCAGCAUUUGCUAUUCCUUCAGCAACAUUUGAGGAACUGCUCUGUAGCCAUUCUGUUAGCUUCCAGGAAAAUAAAGGCAAAUGAGAGGUAGGCUUUUCCCUCAGAAAGCUCAGAGGUUUAGUAGAGAAGAUUGACAUUCAAAAAUAAUUGUGCUGUCAUGUGAUAGGUGCUGUAACAGAGAAAUGUCCAAGGUACAGUGAGAGUUUAAACAAGGAGUAGUAAAUCGAUAAAUUCUGGUGGUGGUGAUGGUGGUGGGUGUCCAGAUGAAGAGAAGUCAGGUUUGAACUGGCUCGUGAAGGAUAGAUUAGAGACUGACUGGCAAGUACUAGGAGGAAGGUCUUUCUGGGAAGAGUGCACAGAUAGGAGAGACUGAAACUUCAGGGAAAAAUAAAUUUUUUUUUUGCUAGUAGAGAUAACAACUGCAGGGAUUUGCUAUCUUUAGAUACUAAUUCAUUGAGUUCCACAGGCUGGUUUGGCACAGGUUACUCUUCCCAAGGCACUGAAUAAAACAAUCCCAGGAUGAAAGAGUUUUAAUAACCAAUGGUUAAUACAAUUUUAUGAUGCUCUCUCAGAAUUCUGAGCAAGAUUAAAACUUCUUAAUUGCAUUUCUUUUUUCUUCUGUGUUAAAAAUGUUUUAAAAGGAAAAGAAUAAAAAGUACUGUGUCAUCUAUGUAUCCACCAGCCAAAAUGAAUAAAUAGAAUCAUACCUAUUUUCUCCCAAGUCCCGUUUCCUUUUCUUUCUUUAGGUAUCCCCUUUAUUAUCA